UCAAGGAUGGCUGCUGGACCAAGCCACACGGCGAUGGCGGUGGCGGUGGCGGUGGCGGGAGUGACCACUACCAACCACUCCUCCAUAGCCUCCGCUCGCCGACGGCCGCCGUCUUUCCGCCGGCUUAAUCAUUCGCCGCGCGCUUCGGGGGCGGUGGAGGUGCGGGUCUGCACGAACCGCACGUGCGCGCGCCAGGGUGCACGCGAGGUCCUUGCGGCGCUCGUGGGCCUCGCGCCGCCUCGCGUUGACGUGGCCUCCUGCGGGUGCCUCGGUCGCUGCGGUGCGGGGCCCAACGUUGCCGCCUCCGUCGCCGGGAGCGCCGCGGUGUUUGGCCACGUGGGCACGGCAGCGCGCGGCGCGCAGCUCCUGGAGCACCUCCUCGGCGCAGCGGAGUUCGACGCGACCUCGGGGCUCGCUGCGCUCGCCAUGCGGGAGAAUGCGGAGGCCGCCCACGACAAGGGAAAUGCGGCCGAAGCGGAAGCUCUCUUAACUGAGGCUAUUUGUCUCAAUGCUUGUGGUGGUCUGCAUCUGGUUUACAGCAGCAGGUCCAAGGCGAGACUGACACUAGGGGAUAUCUCUGGUGCGCUUGAGGACGCUGAGGAAGCAAUAAGAAUAGCUCCAAAAUUUCCUCUGGCUAACUUAUUGCGAGGGGAUGCGCUUCUUGCAAUGGGUGAAUAUUGUGGUGCGGAGGAUGCUUAUGCAGAUGCCUUGGAUCUUGAUCCAUCUAUUCGCCGGUCCAAAUCUUUCAAGGCCCGUGUGGAAAGGCUACGGGAGAAGCUUGUCGGUGCCAGCUGUUCAUCAUAAUCCGUAGUUCAUAUUGAUACUUUUCACUUUUGGCAUCAGAAGUUCCGCCCAGCAAGUAAUGUAUAUAGGUUCCUGGUGUUCCUGGUAGAUCUGAAUUGCUCAAUGCAACAUCUGGAAGUAGUAGUUUGCUACAUUCCUUUGAGUUAGCAGUGCACAGGGGUAUAAAAUUGUCUACCUUUGCGUUAGCAGGGCUUCCAGAGUUGUAAUUAUCAAUCCAUUUGGAAAGAUGAGAAUAAGCCAAGUUUCAACUACAAGUUGCUUUGAAGAUGAUGCAAUGCAACAUUGUUAUUGACUGGCAUCAGCACCUAGCUGAUACAUUCAGCCGUUUGGAUUUCUACCAAACAGAUGUUAUCACAAUAUGCUAGGAGUGUAUGGCAAGAAAACUUAUAUGGAUAAUUUGCUGAUCUCCCUCAUUAGUAAACUCCAGUUACUUGUCAGGUUGCCGUAGUUCAAGGUUGCACAUUUCAAACUUCAGGCGUACCUUUUCUCCCGUAAGCAUCGAUUCAACUGAAAGCUCAAGUUUGUCUUCAGGUCAAAGUCGAUGGGCGAACUGACAAAGGGGGAGGUUCCGACGCCCAGGUUUCGUUCCCACCGUUUCGGAUGCGUGGCGCUAAAGCGAAGCACGCGUGGUGGUAACUGUAGCGCUACCAAACGGCUCGAGGUAAAUUUCUUGGCCGGCCCCUGGUGCCGCAAUCAGCCGUGGUUUUUGCGCGUGCCAUGGAAAAUACAACUUCACAUGCACUUGUGGACUCAUGAUGAAUUUUAUUUGUUCAUUUUAUCCAUCUAAUAUCUAUUUGGUCCAUUCAUUUCACCCA